UACCGGGGUUAUCGGUACAGGGGGUUACCGGUGCCGGGGUUACCGGUACCGGGGGUUACCGGUGCCGGGGUUACCGGUACCGGGGGUUACCGGUGCUCCCUGUGCUCACACGCAGCCGCCGCCGAGGCUGCUCCUGCGGGACCCGCGGGGCUGAUGCGGGGCCGGGGCGAGGGCAGCGCCCACCGGAGCGGAGCAUCCGUGCUUGCAGGGUCCCCGGCAGAGCCUUACGGGAAAAGGGAAAGCCGUCCUCGCAAACCUCCCCCGGCCCCGAUCUUUGCGGAAAGGCUCCUGCUGCAGUUUCAGCGCUUGUUUUUUGAUAAGUGUUUUUCUCACAGCUGGGUCCCUCUUGACAGAUGCUGACGUAGAAGACAGUUUAGGUUUCAAAGACUUUAGGUCUAAGAGAUGCAUCAGUUCCUGACUGUGGCAGAACUCCAGUUGCUUCAGCAGAAGCAGAAUGAGCUUUGCAUUUUCUCUCUGGAGUUUCUUGCCAGAGGGCUACAGAAAGACACACUGGAUGUUUAUUACAACUAUAGCAAGAUGAUCUGGGAGAAUUCUGCUAUUUUUUGGUCCCCCUGAAGCCAUUCUUACUGUAGCUGUGAGAUUCUUGUGCAUCCAAAGAGCCGUUUCAUUAUCCUCCCAUGCUGUUCUUGCUGGCAUACAUCAUCACUGGCUUUAGAGCUGCAAGCUCAGAAAAGGAGUGCUAUGAGAUUAGUGCAAUCAUAUUUCCAGCAAAAUCCCAGGCAUGUUAGCUUUCUCCAGGUGCAAAUUAUCCAACUACGGGUAUGUACUAGAACCUCCUGAAACACUCAGCCCCUCACUGGUUAAGGAAUUAAGAUUUGACCCCUUACACAGCAAUAAUCCCAACCAGCCUCUCCUGCCCUCAGACCCCUGAUGGAUCUGCUGAUCCCAUGUGUUCCAUGUCAUUAGACAAGUCUCUGAUUGAUGCCUGUCUGGUUUUUAUCUAUUUAACACUUCAGGAGCAGGAAUGGUUGUGUUGUGCAAUAAAAUAGUUCGAGAUUUGUCCCUGUCCUUGAGCAAAAUUCCAGUUACCUGUCUGUCUCUGAGGAGACCCUGCAUGCUGGAUGUACUAAAGUCAUACAGAAUGACUGACAGCACAUCCAGUUCCUGUCUGAUUGCUGGCCUCCUGAUUUUCGACGGGAUGUGAGACCCUAGCAGGAGGUUCUUCUCCCCCCUCUGUGUGGUAGUCAAGACAGAAAAACAAACAAACAAAACCCAAAAAAUCCUGUUUUCCUCAAUAGAAAACUCUUUGCUAAUGAAGGGGGUCUUGGCAAAGAGUGGAAGGGCUCAUUCUGCGGGGGCUUCUUUGAGUCCUCCUGCACAGGUACAGGAACAGUGAGCAAGGACAUCCCCACAUUCAGGCACUGAGCUCACAAAGAGCCUUCUCAUCUUUGAUGAACAGUUCAAAACUCGUACACCUCUCACAUUGUGUAAACUCAGCCCUUCUGCAAGCACAUCGCUGGUUUGAGGCCAGAGAGCUGCAGCUCUGCAAGCAGGACUUUGUCAGAGGAGCUCCCCUUCAGAGGUGUUUGGAGUAGAGGCCAGCAGCUGACAGACACUGCACAGACCCUGGCACAAGCUCAGGAGAGAGGUGGAUAUGUUUGACAAGGUGAGGAAGACUCAGGCAGCACCCUCCCCUGUGCUGUACAUUCCCUGGCUUUUAAGAAAUGCCAUCCUGGAAUGGCUCAUUAUCUCUGUUCUCUUCCAAGAUCCAAUUAAUUUAAAGCAUGAUAGGUUUGCUGGGUUCACUCACACACCAAAGGAAGGGAAGAAUGAAGAUAGGACAUCAAAAGUAUUGGUACAAUAUGCAUUUACUUCAAAACUCUGUCCCUUGUGUAGCUCUGAUCAAAGGAAGAGAUGUGACAAAGGCUGAAGUUGCCUGAGCUAUCAAGAGAAGUCAUGCAGAGGCUGACGGCAGCUGUAGCAUCCUGCUGAGUUUUAUCUGGGGACAAGUCACCAGCAGGGCCCUGAUUCAGGGACCUCACUGUGUGGCAAAUGUCUGUGGGUGGCUGUUGAGGGUUGUGUCAGCUCAGAAAGCCCCUGAGCUGUGGAGCUCUGGUGAAAGCUCACUCCCUCAGCUGGAAGGAUCCCUCAUGGAUUCUGGGAAGGAUCCCCCAGGAUCUAUGUGUUUGCCCAGUUUCUGGGUUUGGGAGGAAUGUUUCAGCCACCAGCAGCACUGGUGACAGGUACCUUGCUGUGUCACCCCUGGCCAGGGGUGCAGCUCUGCCACACAGCCCAGGGCAGCCAGGACUCAGGAGAAGCUUGGCCAGAGGACAGAGGAUGCUGAAGCUCUGCCAGAUUCCUGAUCAGCAGAACAACCACAGGCACCAGCAGCUGCCUGUGAUGAGCACAGGGGAUGGGGGCAGGAGUCUCUGUGAGGCUGAGCUGCAGGGUCCCAGCAGGGUGCCAAAAGUCCACCACUCUGGGUUUGCAAACGCAUGGAAGCAGGAGCACAAACAGCCAGGAAAGGAGGGGAGAUUCUGAGAGACCCUUGUGCUGAAGCAUUUAAAAGUUAAUUUUCAGCUCAUUCAGUCAAAAGAGGUUAUGAAAUUACAGCAAUAAAAUCUGAAGAGCAUAAUCCAAAUGGCACUUUCCUGGGAGGUCUAAAGAGCUCAAACACAAAAGUACUGAUUAUUGUGCUUUUAAAUUAUAAGUUAAACUACUUUACCACCAAGGGAACAAAAAAUGGCCAGUAGGGCAUCCUUUCUGAAUGGGGGCUCCAGGGGCAAUCUUGGUUAUUUUACAUCCAAAUUCCCUUCCAAGCAG